UCCGGUUGAUCCUGCCGGACCCUACUGCUAACGGGGUGGGACUAAGACAUGUUAGUCGAACGUUUCGCAGCCAUGAGUGAAACGUGGCAUACGGCUCAGUAACACGUGGCUAACCCACCCUCGGGACGGAGACAACCCCGGGAAACUGGGGCUAAUACUCGAUAGGCGAGGACUCCUGGAAUGGGUCUUCACCCAAAAGGUGUUGGAAUCAUGCUUUCUGGCAUCGCCCGAGGACGGGGCCGCGGCCGAUCAGGUAGUUGGUGAGGCAACGGCUCACCAAGCCUAUAACCGGUACGGGCCGUGGGAGCGGGAGCCCGGAGAUGGGAACUGAGACAAGGUCCCAGGUCCUACGGGGCGCAGCAGUCGCGCAAACUCUGCAAUGCACGAAAGUGUGACAGGGCUACCCCGAGUGCCGUCCGCUGAGGAUGGCUUUUCUCUGCUGUAAGGAAGCGGAGGAAUAAGGAGAGGGCAAGCCUGGUGUCAGCCGCCGCGGUAAUACCAGCUCUCCGAGUGGUGGGGAUGAUUAUUGGGCUUAAAGCGUCCGUAGCCGGCCUUUCAAGUCUUCCGUUAAAUCCAGCGAUUCAAUCGUUGGACUGCGGGAGAUACUGUUGGGCUAGGGGGCGGGAGAAGCCGACGGUAUUUUCGGGGUAGGGGUAAAAUCCUAUAAUCCCGGGAAGACCACCAGUGGCGUAGGCGGUCGGCUAGCACGCGCUCGACGGUGAGGGACUAAAGCUGGGGGAGCGAACCGGAUUAGAUACCCGGGUAGUCCCAGCUGUAAACGAUGCGGGCUAGGUGUUGGAGCGGCCACGAGCCGCUUCAGUGCCGCAGGGAAGCCAUUAAGCCCGCCGCCUGGGGAGUACGGCCGCAAGGCUGAAACUUAAAGGAAUUGGCGGGGGAGCACCACAAGGGGUGAAGCUUGCGGUUUAAUUGGAGUCAACGCCGGGA
rnacentral:rRNA from 1 species